AUCCUUCUGUAGUUCGUAAGCGUGAUGACUGGGGGUUCACACACGUGUGACAUGGGCCUUGCUCCGUCCUUGUCGCAAUGCGGGCACAUUGCCUGUCAGACA